UUAGCUCAGUAGGUAGAGCAACUGACUUGUAAUCAGUAGGUCAUCAGUUCGAUUCCGAUA
rnacentral:tRNA from 1 species